CCAAGGAUGACUUGCCUG
rnacentral:siRNA from 1 species